GGUUCUCAAACUGUGUCCCCUCAAGCCCUUGGGCCACUAGGGGGGCAGUGGGGGACGGGAGCAUGGUGUUCCAGCCCCGCCUGUGUUUCAAUCACCCACAGUUAAUCUCUUUCGUUGAGUGCAGUUGGAACUUUGAUUGGAGAGGAGGCUCCGCUGCUGAAGUAAAUAUUUAAAAACCAGAGAACUAAUCUAACCCCACCAUUUCACCAAAAAGGAAACCGAGGCCCAGAAAAGAGAAGUGGCUUGCUUAAGUUCGCUCAGCUCAGUUGCGCCAGGGCUGCUGCCUGGGCUACUCACCCCUGGUCCAGGGACAAAGAGCCUUCACCCUGAGGAGGAAGAGGACAACUGCCAAGUGUGUGUGGAGGGGGAUGUCCCCAUCAAGGUCUGGGCUUCGGUCUCAGCUCACCUGACGAGGUGAGGCCUCGAGGGCCAGGAGCCAUGUUCUCCCAAGGCAGGCAGCUCAGAGACUGAUCUGGGCUGACAGGAGGGCAGAGUCAUCCUCCGCCCUCACCUGCCUGAGCAACGGAGAGCUUUGCGAGUUGUCAGCCCUGGCAAGGCCUCUCCGGCUAACAAUGACCCCAGCCCCUGCUCUCCAGUUUGCUGCCCAGCACCCCAGAAUCACCUCAGAUUCCUCACUGCAGGUAUUGGAGGCAGGCAGGCAGGUACCCCCUGCCCCUUUACAGGUGGGGACACUGAGGCACCGGCAGCAAGCAGGCCUGGCACCACGCCUCCCUGACGCAAACACUGUGCUCUGGUCAUCACUGCCUACUCCUCUGGUAUCUCUCCCUGGCCCCUGUCCGUGCUAGGGACUUGCCCUCCUCCUCACAGAGCAGCUCUGCUUGCCCCUGCCCCCAGCCCCGUGCUGACUGGCCCACGCUUCCCCUCACUCGCUUUAGCAAGGACAACCAAAGUGCUUCUCUGGUCUCUCAGCAGGCCCAGAGCUCUUGGCCUAGCCCUUCUCCUGUGGUGGUAAACAGAACCAUCCCCCAGCUGCAGAGAGAGCACAAGCCAGGAACUUGGUCCUCCCACACUGACUAGGUGGGACUGGGCCAGCAAAUCCCAAUAGGCUCCUCACACCUGCCCCUUCCCUGAGAUAUAUGGCCUACAACUCAGCAUCAGGGUGACCAGGCAGCUCAGGAUUCUCCUGGUUAGCACUGAAAGUCCCAGGCUCCAAGAGAUUCCUCAGACAUGGGCAAGCCAGACAAACUGGUCCCCCUACUCAGCAUACACAAAAGCAAGGUCAUCACUCCUCCCACUUCUCCCCACUGAACAGUGUCUUCUUUCUGGAACUCUAGUCUCUGCUAAGGCUAAUGGAGAGGACCACAGUCAGUCCCUUCAAUCUGUCUAGCCCCCUCAGACUGAGCUGGGGACUACCAUAGGCCCACAGUAGGGUCAGAGGCCUAGAGUCUGCCCUAGGCCCUGUCUACGACCUGUUGGAGGCCUAGUCCUGCCCUAGGCCCUGUGAGAUAAACAGCAGACAGAGCCCGAGAAAGGCCUCGUGGGAUCCUGGGCCUUGAUCCCAAUCCAACUUUAUCCUCAAGCUGGGGGGCACACCACUCUGGAUGACCCCAGGUAGGGCAACCCUAGGGCUGGAGCCAGGCAAGGUCUGCCCGGGGCUCACUGAGGCUGCCUCUAUCUGUCUGACUUCGAGGUGAGUCAUUUCCUCCCUCAGCUGGUUAUGAGGCUGGGAGGGGAAGGGAGGGGGCGGCAUCUAAAAAUAGCAGGGCCUCCACCGCCCGGACACCCAAAGAGCUUCUCCUUGGGCAAGGGAGGAGCCAGCUUGUCCUUGGAGCUGACGCCAGCCGUGGUCCCCAGCCGGUGGCUGCUUUAGGCCCAGGAGCAGGACGGCCCGAGAUCCCCUGGGCUCCCCUUCCCAGGCUCAGCAGAGGGGGCUGAGGUGUGGAGGAGGCAGCCUGAAGCAGGGGCCUGAGAAGUGGACAGGUGGCGUGCCUCCCUCAAGGUCACGGCCAGGAAGGCGUGAACAUGACGUGAAGCCGACAGCCGGGCGUGGGAAAGGAAAACUAAUGGCCAGAUGCCAGAAAGGAUGCGCCACUUGUCCUCACCACCGCCGGAGCUCCCACAGAUGGUACACUUACUGGAUGCCUGCUCCCUCGCCUGACCCCAAGCCUUUGGAGAGAGCCCGAGGCGGUAAUCACCCCCAUUCUGCAGCUGAGGCAUCUGAUGCCCAGAGAGGCCAAGUCAACGGCCCAAAGUCACACAGUAGCAAGUGAAGAGGUUGAUGGCCCAGGUCAGGGCACAGAGUGGGUGCUGGCCUGGUGCAUGCCGGUGAGCCUCCACGGUUGAGUCCACAUGAGAAAACCCCACGGAGCCCACGUGUGUCGUGUGAGACGGAGGGCCCGCUUCCAAGCAGCAGGGAACAGCUGUGUUGGCAGGAGGGGGUGAGAAGGUGUGGGUGAGCACAGCUCUGACAACAGCAAACAGUGCGUGGGAGUGUGUUGAUAGCAGGGCGUGCGAUGGCAGUGCCUUGACCAUGUGUGUUUCUGCUGGCAGAAUGUUCUGGUCUGUGUUGAUAAACAAUUGUUUGGGCAGGCACGAGGCUGGAGCGGGGACAGAAGAGGAGCGCUGGGGGCAGGUGGAGGCGGGGUGGGGGGCAAGGCCAGGGUUGAUGGCGGCCCGGGCCUGAGUUUCCAGAACAAGGGGCAGCAGGCUGGCAGCAGCUGUUUUCCCAGCUGACCUCACUGGGUGCGAAUGGCUGGGUGUGGAUCCCUCUGCAAACCACCUGAUGAUGCCCAUAAACACGAAAACAGGAGCAGGGACACACUGUGAGGAAGAGAGUUCUUCCUGAGCUGCUAGUCGCACGGAUGGAGGUUUAAUCAACAGCUGAAGCCAGCGCAUCGUGAUUGCCGUGACCGAGUGGAUUCCUCAAAAGUCGGCUUCUGGGAAGAGGCGGCACCCCUGAGAACAACCCUGCUCAUGACUGUAAUUGGAGCCCCCGAAUCUCGCCCUCGCCUCCUGGCAGACACAGAGAGAGAGCGAGCACAAGCAGGAGGAGCAGCAGAGGAAGAGGGAGAAGUAGGCUCCCCGCCAAGCAGGGAGCCUGAUGCGGGGCUCCAUCCCAGGACCCUGGGAUCAUGACCUGAGCCGAAGGCAGACGCUUAACCAACUGAGCCACCCAGGUGCCCUGAGAGCAACGGUACAGGUCUAUGAUUCAUCAGUCUUACACAAUACACAGUGCUCACCAUAACACGCACUCAAGUAUUUUAAAUUAAAAUUUCAUGUGUGUUAGAAAAAAAAAAAACUAGCACAUCAAAUCCAGGAUUUUAUAAGCAUUAUUGCUUAGAACAGGGGCAUGUUAAGACAACAACAGCAACAAAACUUACCAUUGUUUCACAGAAAAAAUAUUGAGUAAAUGAUACCCCAGGUAGCAUGAGGCUAGGGUGGAAAUUGUGAAGGUGCCUUGAGAAAUGCCAGCUACGUGGAGCGGGCCACGGCGAACCAAGGAGGCUGGUUCUACAGAGUGGGCAAGAGAGGAGAGAAAGAGAGAGAGAGAGUACAAGCCGGGGGAGCGGCAGAGGAAGAGGGAGAAGCAGGCUUCCCGCUGAGCAAGGAGCCUGAUGCGGGACUCGAUCCCAGGACCCUGAGAUCAUGACCAGAGCCGAAGACAGACAACCGACUGAGCCACCCAGGCGUCCCCAGCAGUGAGCAUUGUCAUGCCUCCUCUUGAGCUGGAGUUUCUCAAGCCCUGGUGUCUGUACACGGGUUCUCUGGAGUCUGAGACAUCUCUAUGAGACUUAAGAUGCCUAUGUUUUCAUUUUGGAAUUAUCUUUAAAAAAUCAGUAUAAACAGAUUCUACAUCAUCUGGAUGCUUGGCUUACAGCCGAUUAUGUGAUCACAAAAUUUUAGUGUCUACAUUUGCACUAAUGUUUAUGGAAAGCAGUCAACUUGAGUUUUGUUUUGUUUUGUUUUUUAAGAUUUUAUUUAUUUGAGAGGGUGAGAGAGAGAGCAGCAGAGGGAGAGGGAGAAGCAGGCUCCCGGCUGAGCAGGGAGCCCAAUGUGGGACUCAAUCCCAGGACCCCAGGAUCAUGACCUGAGCUGAAGGCAGAUGCUUAACCAACUGAGCCACCCAGGCGCCCCUUGAGUUUUGUUUUUUAUUUUUAAUUUAAGUAGACGCUACAUAUGGAAAAAUACACAAACCUUAAGUAUAUAGAUGGAUGAAUUUUCACAAAGAGAACACAUCUGUGAAACCCAACAGGAAACAUAAUAUUAUUACUGCCUCCCUGGAGACCCUCCUCAAGAACUCCUACACCCCUCAGUGAUAACCACUAUUCUUCAUAUCAUAGAUGGGUUUUUCCCAUUUUUGAACUUGAUAUAUAACUGGGCCAUAUAGAAUGACUCUUUGGUCCCUGGCUUCUUUCUCUCAACAUAAUGCCCAUGAGAUUCAUCCAUGCUGUUGGCAUGUUAGCUUCUCAUCCAGUGCUUCUUAAAGUCGGAUCCUCACAAGUCAUUCUUAGGGUUCCAUUAAUCUACCAGCUAGAGGAAAGCAAAUGUGGGGUGCCUGGUGGUUCAGAAAGGAGUUGAAAGCAUCCCACUACAGGGCACACAGUCCUGCCCUGGGCCUUCACUCUACAACCUAGAGCCUGCCACAGUCCCACUCCUGACUCCCAGACUGCAGCUUCCCAGUGCACCCUACUCGUCCAGGCCUCUAGGUCUUUGCAAAUGCUGCUCCCUCUGCCUGGGAUGCCCUCCCCUUGUUUGUCUGCCUAGCAAAGUCUUGUGUUGUUUGUGUCACUGGAAAGACUGCCUCCCUGUGAGGUCUCCCCUGGCUUCUCUGGGCAGACUCAGGCACCUCUUUUGUUGUGCUUUAUCCAUGUUACUCCUGCAGCAUUUAUCAUAUCGUGUGGUCACUGCAGGUCUUUCUGCCCACUGGACUGUGGGCUUUGAGACCUGGAGUGUGGGGCGACACUGGAUUCCCUCCCAGAGUGACCGACUUGGGAGUCUUGCUGCACCCCCACCUCCCAGGGCCAUCAGAGGCAGGAGCAAGAUUCUCUGUCCUGGCUCACCUACCUCAUUAAACACGGGGUUCGGUUGGCUCCCAAUCCCUGCAUCAUCAGCAAGGGUGGACAGCUUCAGAACUAUGGCAUGGGAGUCCUUGGCCAAGCCACCACACCAAGGAAUUAAAGGCCUGGAGAGCCCUGCUUGGGCCAAUGCCAGGCCCUAGGGCCCAAGGUUGAGAUACUUUACCAGACAGGCAUCAGUUUCCUCAUCUGUGAAAUGGGAAAAAUGAACCUGGUCACCUUCCUCUUUCCUGGGAAGAGUAUGAAGUUAAUGAAUGCCCAAGACCGGAUGUGACUAUACCUAAGACUUAGUGCAAGCUGCCUGGAGGCAAGGGAAUGGCCUAGGUGACCCUAGGUUCUCUCCUGCUGCCCGGGACUGAAGGACAGUGCGAGACCCACAAUUCAGCUGUAGCUGCUCAUCUUGGUCCCCCACCCUUCCCUGGGUGGGUCUUGGCUUGGAAGCCCUAAUCUGCUUGCUAAGCACCAACCCCAUUUAUUCCAACCUAAAUUUGUCCAGCCUUGUGCCUUGCCUCUGCAGGGCUGUGUCCAGGCCAUAGCAGGAAAUUGGGUUUCUUCGUCCCUUCUCACAGAACUCCAUUCAUACUGCCCCUCCUCUAGGCAGCCUUCUCUUCUUAUCCUUGGGCGCGGUGGGCUCAUCUGCACUCCUGGCAUUUGUGAAGGGUUCGUGUCCUGGCUGUCCCCCAACUUCCGACCCCCACUCUAUCCUGAAGUAGAACUGGGACCAUAGAAUGUGGUUCUUGGAAAAGCGGGCUCCACCCAGUGGGGAAGAUGGAUGCAGCGCCCUGUUGCCAUGGCAACCAAAAAGCACCCCCGUGAGCCUCUUCAUUGGCCACUGUGCUCGAGAUCCCGCCUCCACCACCAGAAGGGACCAACUGGAGGCCGGGUGAUGGGACCCUGUUGGAGGAUUAGUGGGGGUGACACAUCUCGCUUCCUGUUCUGCCCGCGGGGAAACCCGCCGGCGCUUGAUCGCACUUCUCGUGGCCAUCGUGGCUUCGAUGGAGCUGUGUCCCGAGAGUCGGGGUGGGAGGUACGGGGAGGUGGGGAGCCUCUCGCAGGAGGUUUCCUCGGGCGGGCCUGGGGAGCCGCAGAGCUGGGUUGUUGGACUGGGGAGGAAGCCGUUCUUCUUCCCAGCAAUGCAGGUCGCCAGAGGCCUCGGGUGAGCUCAAUUCCCAGGCGCGAGAAGGCUCUGGCCGGCUUGGUGGUAGCCGGGGGGGAAAGUGGGAGGUGCGUUCCACCCCCGCCCCGGCACCCUGGCCUGCCCGGAAGGAAGGGUCGUGCCAAGCUCGGAGACUUGCACGGUUUCCUUUAGCAAAACUGCGUCAGACUCCGUCUGGGGGUAAACCGCCACUCACUGGUGACAGAGCCUUGAUUACAACAGAUCAGAAAGGGGAAACCGAGCCUUUCCCGCUUUCUCCGCCUUCUCCGGAAAGUUCCCUUUUCAGGAGACAACAGAUUGAAGAAGAUAGAGCCCGCCUUCGCGAGAAGGAGGGAGAGAGUGUUUGUAACUACUUUUGCUCUCUCAAAACCGCCUAAAAUUACCUCUGGAAGCCUCCGCUUAACAAUAACAGAACCAUUUAACCAAGCCUGAUUGGGGUUGAGACCCGGCAAGGAGCCACCUGAUGGGACAGCACUAACGUGCUCCAGCCAGAAUGGGCACUGGAUGUAGCAUCAGGCGGGACCCAAUCUCUGAGCCGGACAUUCCUCAUCUGUAAAACGGGCUUGAUUAGAGUGAGGAUUCGGAAAAAUAAUCAUGACACCCACUAGAACCUUUCUUGGUCAAACACACACCCCAACACAAAAACACCAGAGUUUCCAAGGGCCGCACACUCAGGGAGAAGCUUUUGCCCAGAUGCCCUUGCAGGUCACUCCCAGGGGCCAGAGUCAAAAUCAGUAACAAACACUUCUGGAGCAUGUAAAAAUUGAUGGGUUUUGAGUGCCUAACAAUAGUCAGGCUCUAUGUUGUGUUGAACCCUGAUCAACCCUUUUAAUCAUCCCAGAACAACCCUUCUUCUCUCCUGAAAAAUACUGUGGACUGUUAUCCCCAUUUUGUAGAGGAGCAAACUGAAGUUUGUAGAGAAGUUAAGAAAAUUCACCAUGGGGGCGCCUGGGUGGCUCAGUCGGUUAAGCAUCUAUCUGCCUUUGGCUCAGGUCAUGAUCCUGGAAUCCCCGGAUUGAGCACCACGUCAGGCUUCCUGCUGAGCAGGGAGUCUGCUUCUCCCCCUGCCCCUCACCCUGCUCAUGCUCUCUCUCUCUCUCAAAUAAAUAAAUAAAAUCUUCAUUAAAAAAAAAGGAAAGAGGGGCGCCUGGGUGGCUCAGUCGUUAAGCGUCUGCCUUCGGCUCAGGUCAUGAUCCCAGGGUCCUGGGAUCAAGCCCCACAUCGGGCUCCCUGCUCAGCAGGGAGUCUGCUUCUCCCUCUUCCUCUGCCUCUCCCCACUGCUCCCGCUCUCUCUCUCUCUGUCUCAAAUGAAUAAAUUUUAAAAAAAAAUUAUUAAAAAAAAAAUAAAUAAAUAAAAUCUUUAAAAAUAAUAAUAAUAAAUAAAUAAAUAAAAAUUUAAAAAAGGAAAGAAAGUUCACCAUGUGAAUUUCAGACUCUUUCUGAUGCAAAUGACAGAAAACCUGACUCAAACUGGUUUAUGCUAAAAAGGGAAUUUGCUGGCUCAGGAAACUGAAAAAUCCAGGCAUGACUUGAUCUGGAGACUCCAAAAUGUCAUAAAGACUGAAUCUCUCCACUCUGCCUUCACCAUCUUGGCGCCACAUUUGGGCUCCAUGAGUGGUCUUCUACGAGCAGCUCCAGGUUCAUAUCAUCCCGAGUCCUAGUUCUGUAUAAAAGAGGGUCUUAGUAAUUGCAACACGAGUCCCAGGAUUUACUCUAAUCACACAUGGCAGACGCUGGUUAGGGGGUCAUGUGACCACACUUACAUAAGACACUGCUGGGGAAGAAUCUGCACUGAUUGGCGGCCUGGUCACAUGCAGCCUCGUGGGUACCAAGGGGCUGAAAGGGAAGGAGGGAGGAAUGUUUCUCCCAAGGAGGAACAGAAAAGAUGGGGAAUGGGUGCUAGCGGCUAAUCUGACCUGUGUCUUCCACACUGAGGUCAUAAGGUGACACGGUUGAGAAGAGUUGGGGCGGGGACUGAGCCCUGGCCGUCAGACUCCAGAACCCACAACCCUAACUCCUCUACACCUUCCACUCUGCGUGCCAGCCUGCUACUAAGCACCUAGUAGAGAAAACGUGGAUGUGGAAGGUGAGGCCCUUGCCCUGGGAGAGAGCCCAGGCCUCCUUCAUUGGUCCCAGGUCACUCCUUAUCACAUCUGGUACCCAUCACCACCUCCCACCCUGGCUGUUAUCCCUGGAGGGUCCUGGAAGCCUCUCUGAUAGCUGGCCCUGGGCUAUUGCCUGCCAUGCUAUGGAAGGCCUUCCACAUCAGCUCUGGUUAUGCACUGUCCCGGGGUCUAGUUGCUUCCUGUUUCUCCAAGCAGAGGGGAGAUUCUUUGGGGACUAGGACUAUGUUCUCCCUUCUCCUGUAUGUGGUCCCUCUCUGGGACCAGGCAGAAUUUGUGCAGUAGGCAGCAACGGUGAUUUUGAGAGGCCCUAAGAAGGCCCUUUUCUACCCCUUUUGUACCUCCUUUACCAUAAAAAAAUUCCAUCAUUAGACAGGAUUUCACUCCUUCAAUUACCCUUAAGAUUCAAAUUCCCCUGAGAGAGGCAGUAUAGUAGGGCUUAACAUUCAUUCACACUAUAGUGAGAAGUAGCUCAUAGAAUAUUUCCUGAGGGGGGCACCUGGGUGGCUCAGUCGUUAAGCGUCUGCCUUCGGCUCAGGUCAUGAUCCCAGGGUCCUGGGAUCGAGCCCCGCAUCGGGCUCCCUGCUCUGCGAGAAGCCUGCUUCUCCCUCUCCGAUUCCCCUUGCUUGUGUUCCCUCUCUCGCUAUGUCUCUCUCUGUCAAAUAAAUAAAUAAAAUCUUAAAAUAAAAAAAAAAAAGAAUCUUUCCUGAGGGCAAGCUUUUUCAUCUUGGCCACCAUUCAUUGAGUGCCUACUAUGUGCUUUCCACUGAUUCAAGAGCAUCUCAUGCAUUAGCUCAUUUAAUCCUCACAACUCUGUGAAGUGGAUACUAGUGACCCCAUUUUACAGAUGAGGAAACUGAGGCCCAGAGAGGUUAAUGAUCAUGCCCAAGGUCUGCAAGCAGUGGAAGUCUGGUUCCAAAACCUACACUCUCCAUUACUCCACUGAGAUAAUCCCUAAGACUUUUCAGUGUUCUGAGAUCAGUUCUUCUCCCUGAGAACAGUUCUGAGAUCAGUUCUUCACACAGCACCCAGUGAGAGGAGCCUUGGGUCAGCUCCCUGGUGUCCUGGGAACAGAGGGAGAGUGUGGGGGGCAUGGAUGCUGGGAGCUGCCAGAACAAACCUGCUCCUUCUUCCCUUCUUCCUCUUCUCCCGCCCCCCCCUCCUUCUUUUCCUUCUCUUUCUCCCCUCCUUCCUCCCACGCAUCCAUGUAGCCGCCCACACACCUACUAGGGGUGAGGGCUACAGGUAAGCAAUGACCAAAACAAGUGUCCCUUGUGCUCUCACAGGUUUGAUAGUCUAAAAAACAAACAAACAGGGGCACCUGGUUGGCUCAGUUGGUGGAGCAUGUGACUCUUGAUCUCGGGGUCGUGAGUUCGAGCCCCACGUUGGGUGUAGAGAGUACUAAAAAUCAAUCAACCAAUCAAUCAAUAAGUAAAACAAAAAACACUUGCUAUUUCUUGAGUGUUUAUGGUGAGCAGGGCCCUGAGCUAGGUGCUGAAAACAUGCAUCAUCCCCAGAGCCCACUUUCUCAGGUGGGAGACUGGCACUUAGGAAGAGCUACAGGCAUUAUCUCAUUUAAUGACUCCAGACUGACUCCAGAGUCCCAGCAUCGCACCCUAGACUGGACUGCCCCCCUCUUGGGGUGUAGUGAGGAUCCAGUGGAUACUUAGACUGAGGAGUGCACACACACACACACACACAACCCUGGCUCUGUGACUCCAACAGCCAGCACCAGAGGCAGCCAUUUCUGCUGUCUCCAGCACCCUCCUUCCCACCAGGGGCCAGGCCCCACCCCAAACAGGAGUGGAGUGGGGAAAGGCCAUCUCCCAAGGAAAUGAUAGGCUGGCACCCCGAGACCUCUGAAUGGAAACCCGCAGGGAGAUUGAAUGAGCCUGAUCUAACCAGAGGUUCUGGAAGGAGACCUCACCCGCUCUCCCUGGGCAGCCUGUCAGCGUGAAGUCCUGGUGCCUUGGUUUCCUCUCCUAUAAAUUGGUUUGCUCACAGGCUGUGUCUGAAGUAUCACCCACCAGAAGCUUCCUUGAUCCAGCUCGUUGGGGAAGCUCCUUGCUUUCUGACUGGGUCCUUCCAGGUUCUUCACAGGGAUUGUAUUUCCCGUUUUACAGGUACGGAAACGAGGCUCCGAGAGGCUGACCCACAGCCACCUAAUGAGUGUUAGAAAUGCAAUGAGAACCCACCCAGGUUUUUAAUCUGUUGCUGCAACAAGUGUCUACUAAGCACUCAACUGAAUGCUGGCGUCUGAGCUAUGUCCAGGAGAUACAGCAGCGAGCAAGGGAGGCUUGUCCUACCUCCAGGAGAGUCCAUUUCAGUAGGGCUGACAGAUGAGAGGAAAUAUUAGAAAUGUUGGCAGGACAGGGUGACAAGAGCUAAGAGGCUUUUGGCAGGGCAAAGGACCUGGGGCCACCUCAGCUCCCACAUUUGGGAGGACCCAGCAGAGCAAAAGUCUGGGGGGCUGGGGAGGUGAAGUGGGAAAGGUUGGGGUCUUGGCCCAAGUAGGGUGUUAACUGGGAGGAGGAGUUGGAGCUGCCCCACCCCAAAAUACCCAGACUCCUCUCAGGCCUUGUACUGCCUGCCUGGAGUUUCCACCCCAACGGUUUCCUUGUCUGGGGUGCUUUCCAGCCCCACCUGCUUUCCUGGAGUCCAGUUCAUCUAACGCUCCUGCCAGGCAUGUACCUGGUGCCUAGUGUCACUCUGCGUAAUUCCAGAAACCCAGGUGUCCUCACCUGCUCCUGAUUCAGUUUGACUCACCCUCCUCAGUUCUGGAAGUUGGCUCUUGGCUGUUUUUACCUCAUGCUUGGGCAUCUGGGGCUCGUGGGAGCAGCAGAUCCUCCUUCCCACUCUUGAAGGUUAAACUGGUUGGUGUCAUGCAGGGGAAGUAGAGGAGCCCUGAGGAGGGAAACCUCAUCCACCCACGAUUAAUUUCCUCCCUCUACAACCCACUUCAGACAUCUCCUUUCCAGCGAUCACCAAUGUUCUUCCUGUUCUUUUUUUUUUUUUUUUAAGAUUUUUAUUUAUUCAUUUGACAGAGAGAGACAGUGAGAGAGGGAACACAAGCAGGGGGAGUGGGAGAGGGAGAAGCAGGCUUCCCGCCGAGCAAGGAGCCCGAUGUAGGGCUCCAUCCCAGGACCCUGGGAUCCUGACCGGAGCCGAAGGCAGACGCCUAAGCGACUGAGCCACCCAGGUGCCCCUCUUUUUUUUUUUUUAAGAUUUUAUUUAUUAAUUUGACAGAGAGAGAGAGACAGUGAGAGAGGGUACACGAGCAGGGGGAGUGGGAGAGGGAGAAGCAGGCUUCCUGCCAAGCAGGGAGCCCGAUGUGGGACUCGAUCCCAGGACCCUGGGAUCAUGACCUGAGCUGAAGGCAGACGCUUAACUGACUGAGUCACCCAGGCACCCUGUUCUUCCUGUUCUUAACAGGAAAAGGACAUUAUCUAGGAAGAAUAGCUAAUAUUUGAUUGUUUACUAGAAGCUGGGUACUUCUCACAACAUUCCAUUAUUUGUUAUUAUUUUCCUGAUGAAAAAAACUGAAGCUCAGAGAGGGGACCCAUCUUGUCUCAAGUCACACAGCAAGGAAUUGGCUGAAAUGGGAUUGGAACCCAGGUAUACUAGACUUCCAAGUGGUUUCACCAGGGACACACAUACCUGACCCCCACUCCAGCUGCCCACAGGUGGGAGAGGGAAGUUAGGGCUCAUUCCACCUGCCAAGCUUGAGCCUGCUCAGAUCCAACCUCAUGCACCCCCAGGAUCCUUUUGUGGUGGCGCUGGGGGGAUAGAAACUCUGAGAGGAGCCACCAUUUGCUCAACCCAGGGAUCUGAGGGCCAUUACUUCCCCCAUGGGAAGAAGCCCAGACCUAUAGAACUCCCAUAGGAAGCGCUCCCCAGAUGAAUGGGCCAGGUCUGUGCUGCUUGGUGGGAGUCAUGGCCAGUCAUCCCUCCUCAUUUUAGAUGGGCCCAGGCGUGCCACGGCAGCGUACCCCCUCCUUCCCUCCCACAGCUUGUCCCCAGUUGGCAUCCCUCCCACUGGACCUCCCCUCCCCAUCCUACCUUCACACCAGAUAAAGCUGUAUGGCCCAGAGCUGUGCUAACCAGUACGGUGGCCACUAGCCCCUUGUGGUUGUCGAGCACUUGAAAUGGGACUAGUGCUGCUGAGGAACCGAAUUUUAAAUUGUAUUUAAUUUUAAUCAAGUUACAUUUACAUUUUAAACUUGAUAAUGUAGUUGGGACGCCUGGCUGGCUCAGUUGGUAGAGUGUGCGACUCGAUUCUCAGGGUUGUAAAUUUGAGCCCCACAAUGGGUGUAGAGAUUGCUUAAAAAUAAAAUCUUAUAGGGGCGCCUGGGUGGCUCAGUUGGUUGAGCGACUGCCUUCGGCUCAGGUCAUGAUCCUGGAGUCCUGGGAUUGAGUCCCGCAUCGGGCUCCCUGCUGGGCAGGGAAUCUGCUUCUCCCUCUGACCCUCCCCCCUUUCAUGUGCUCUCUCUCUCUCUCAUUUAAAAAAAAAAUUAAAAUUAAAAAAUAAAAUAAAAUCUUAUAAAAAAAUAGAUAAUGUAGUUAUUGGAAAACAUUUAAGUAUGUGUGGAACACCUUGGGUAUGUGACUCUACUUAUGCAACCCAAAUUUUAUGAAAUCUAAACACAGAUCAUUUUCUGAUGAAAAUUUAGCAGGUAGUAGAAGUAUAAACCAAACACCAGGUUUUGAACGCUUAGUAAUAGAAAAUGUAAAAAUACCUCACUGAUAUUUUUUUACAUUGAUUACAUGUUGAAAUGCUAUUUUUUGUAUGUCAUAUUAAAUAAAAUAUUAAGAUUGAUUUCACCUGCUUAUCUUUUUAACGUAGCUACUAGAAAGUUUUUUGAUUAUUUAUGCGGCUCAU